CCAAGCUGGGAUUGAGCUCACGUCACUUCCGGGAGGAAGCGCCGGCCUCCGGCUCGGGCUCCGGGGUGGGCUCGCGCCCCUCCUGGCCCGGCUUUUGGAACUUCCCACCUUCUGUGCGAUUUCUGGACGGGACGGUGGCUAGUGCUUCAUGUUUACCCUCAUGGUACGGGAAGCUUAGGAAUGGCGGGCUCCAGGUGCCCCGAUUGAUAGGGCACAUUAACGUUUCUUUUCAUCCGAGAUGCUUGCGCUAGAAGCAAGGACGCAAAGAUGAAAAACCUGGAGAAUUUGCACCCCCACCCCACCCCGCCUGGAGCCCCUGGGGCUAGGACACUGGGUAGCACCGGGGAGAGCACAAACCCAGCCCGACCUGCCUUCCAGCCUCAUCCUUCUACCAUGAUGGCCAAAUGGGGAAGACUGGCUAGCUAUGAUCCUCCACCAUCCUGUCUGCUCCCCUGCUCCUUCCCGGUCAUGGUACCAUGAGUGUCCAUAGUUACAAACUGAGAACACCGGUGAACAUGACGGUGGUGGGGAUGCUGACCAGAGUAAUGCUGUCUGCAUACCAGCUUUACUGAGUCAGAAUCAACAUAUAAUAAUUGCACAUAUUUAAAGUUCACAAUUUUGUAAGUUUUCAACAUACCUAUGAAACCAUUGUCACAAUCAAGAUGGAAUAUAUCUGUCACUGGACGUUUCUUUGUGUCCCUUUGUGCCUCUCUUUUCCAUCUUUUCUCGCCUCCUCCCCUCCUUGCUUCUGGCAACCACUGAUCUGCUUUCUGUCACUAGAGGUUGGUUUGCAUUUUCUAAAAUUUUAUAUAAAUGAAAUCAUACAACAUAUGUUCCUUUUUGUCUAGCUCUUUUCACUUAGCAUAAGUAUUUUGAGAUUCAUCCAUAUUGCUGUGUGUAUCAAUGGUUCAUUCCUUUUCAUUGCCAAGUAAUACUUCAUUGUAUGACUAGACCACCAUGUGCUUCUCCAGUCUGCUGCUGGUGGGCAUGUGAGUUGUUUCCAGUUUGGGCUUAUUAAAAACAAAGUUGCUAUGAACAUUUUUAUACCAGUGUUUUAUGGGCUUGUUCCAUCUUUCCUUUUUAGUAAGUAUCUUGGAGGGUGGUAGUAAUAUGUUUAAAUUGAAAAAACAAAAAAACAAAAAAACAAAAAAACAACGGCCAGACAGUUUUCCAAAAUGGUUGAACCUUGAAAGUUUCAGUUCUGCAUCCUUGCUAACACUUAUAUGACCAUCUUUUUAAUUUUAGCCAUUCCAAUAGAUACAUCAUGGUAUCUCAUUAAGGUUUUAAAUUUGCAUUUCCCUAAUGACUAAUUAUGUUGAGCAUCUUUUAGUAUGCUUAUUUUCCAUCUGCCUAUUUUUUGUUGUUGUUGAAGUGUCCAAAUCUUCAGCCCAUUUUAAAAAGUAGUUGUUCAGAAAUAGUCACUGACAUAGAAAACAAACUAUGGUUACUGGUGGGGAGGGAAGGGAAGGAAUAGAUUUAGAAGUUUGGGAUUAACAGAUAUACACUACUAUAUAUAAAAUAGAUAACAACCAGGAUUUACUGUAUAGCAUGGGGAACUAUAUUCAAUUUCUUGUAAUGGAAUGUAAUGGUAAAGAAACUGAAAAAAAAAAGUAUAUAUGUAUGUAUACUGAAUCGCUUUGUUUUAUAUCUGAAACUAACAUUGUAAAUCGACUAUACUUCAAUAAAAAAUA